CGGCGCGCCUAACACAUGCAAGUCGAACGGAACUGUUUUGAAAGAUUCUUCGGAAUGAAUUUGAUUUAGUUUAGUGGCGGACGGGUGAGUAACGCGUGAGUAACCUGCCUUCAAGAGGGGGAUAACAUUCUGAAAAGAAUGCUAAUACCGCAUGACAUAUCGGAAUCACAUGAUUUUGAUAUCAAAGAUUUUAUCGCUUGAAGAUGGACUCGCGUCCGAUUAGUUAGUUGGUGAGGUAACGGCUCACCAAGACCGCGAUCGGUAGCCGGACUGAGAGGUUGAACGGCCACAUUGGGACUGAGACACGGCCCAGACUCCUACGGGAGGCAGCAGUGGGGGAUAUUGCGCAAUGGGGGCAACCCUGACGCAGCAACGCCGCGUGAAGGAUGAAGGUUUUCGGAUUGUAAACUUCUUUUAUUAAGGACGAAAAAUGACGGUACUUAAUGAAUAAGCUCCGGCUAACUACGUGCCAGCAGCCGCGGUAAUACGUAGGGAGCAAGCGUUGUCCGGAUUUACUGGGUGUAAAGGGUGCGUAGGCGGCUUUGCAAGUCAGAUGUGAAAUCUAUGGGCUCAACCCAUAAACUGCAUUUGAAACUGUAGAGCUUGAGUGAAGUAGAGGCAGGCGGAAUUCCCCGUGUAGCGGUGAAAUGCGUAGAGAUGGGGAGGAACACCAGUGGCGAAG
rnacentral:rRNA from 1 species